rnacentral:rRNA from 1 species
GCUGGCGGCAGGCUUAACACAUGCAAGUCGAACGCCCGAGCAAUCGGGAGUGGCAGACGGGUGAGUAACACGUGGGAACAUACCCUCAGGUUCGGAACAACGCCGGGAAACUGGCGCUAAUACCGGAUACGCCCUGUGAAGGGGAAAGGCUUGCUGCCUGAGGAGUGGCCCGCGUUCGAUUAGCUAGAUGGCGGGGUAACGGCCCACCAUGGCGACGAUCGAUAGCUGGUCUGAGAGGAUGGCCAGCCACAUUGGGACUGAGACACGGCCCAAACUCCUACGGGAGGCAGCAGUGGGGAAUAUUGGACAAUGGGCGCAAGCCUGAUCCAGCCAUGCCGCGUGAGUGAUGAAGGCCUUAGGGUUGUAAAGCUCUUUCGCACGCGACGAUAAUGACGGUAGCGUGAGAAGAAGCCCCGGCUAACUUCGUGCCAGCAGCCGCGGUAAUACGAAGGGGGCUAGCGUUGUUCGGAAUCACUGGGCGUAAAGGGUGCGCAGGCGGGUUCAUAAGUCAGGGGUGAAAUCCCGAGGCUCAACCUCGGAACUGCCUUUGAUACUGUGGAUCUUGAGUCCGGAAGAGGUGAGUGGAACUGCGAGUGUAGAGGUGAAAUUCGUAGAUAUUCGCAAGAACACCGGUGGCGA